rnacentral:lncRNA from 1 species
CUCAUCUCUAUUUCAGCUUCUGAGGGACUACAGAGAAUUCAAAGCAAGCACAGAAAGGUGACAAUCUAAUUGUACGAUUUUACACAAUAAACAGAGCCAUGAAUUGAAAGGACCGUAGACGAGUAGACAUUUCCUUUUAAAAAUACCAUAUGGGCUUAUUGACAUCUGCACACAGCUUGCAAUCACACAAACUUUAUACCAUCUUAAGGCAUUACAAUCUAAGAAAAGCAGUGACCUGUUGGAGGACUACUCCAGCAUGUACUCCAGGCCUCUUGACACCAAACAAGCAGUACUGCAUGCUAAAGAAAACAUCCACCAGGGUGGAAGAAAUUAAGGAGGUGUGAAAUCAAGAAGGGAUCAUGACAGAAACCAACAGGUGGAACAAUGGCAGGAAGGCUCUUCUUCUCUGUCCCUGUUGCUGGGCAUAGAUUGUAGUGGAGGAUUUUGUAAGGGGCAAUGUUUUGAGAUCUCCACGAUGAGCUGGCCAAGAGGAAGCCAGAGUUGAGCUCAGAUAUCAGCACUGAACAUAUCAUCACACAACCUGCUAUGGAGGACUAU